GUUGAACGCUGGCGGAAUGCUUUACACAUGCAAGUCGAACGGCAGCACGGACUUCGGUCUGGUGGCGAGUGGCGAACGGGUGAGUAACAUAUCGGAACGUAUCCAAUAAUGGGGGAUAACGAGUCGAAAGAUUCGCUAAUACCGCAUACGCCCUACGGGGGAAAGCUGGGGACCUUCGGGCCUGGCGUUAAUGGAGCGGCCGAUAUGUGAUUAGCUAGUUGGUGAGGUAAAGGCUCACCAAGGCGACGAUCAGUAGCCGGUCUGAGAGGACGACCAGCCACAAUGGAACUGAGACACGGUCCAGACUCCUACGGGAGGCAGCAGUGGGGAAUUUUGGACAAUGGGCGCAAGCCUGAUCCAGCCAUUCCGCGUGAGUGAAGAAGGCCUUCGGGUUGUAAAGCUCUUUCGCAAGGGAAGAAAACUUAGCCACUAACAUUGGUUGAGGUUGACGGUACCUUGAUGAGAAGCACCGGCUAACUACGUGCCAGCAGCCGCCGUAA
rnacentral:rRNA from 1 species